CCUACGGGAGUCAGCAGUGGGGAAUAUUGCGCAAUGGGCGAAAGCCUGACGCAGCGACGCCGCGUGAGGGAUGAAGGUCUUCGGAUCGUAAACCUCUGUCAGCAGGGAAGCACGGUCACUGUGCUAAUCAGCAGUGAAUUGACGGUACCUGCAAAGGAAGCACCGGCUAACUCCGUGCCAGCAGCCGCGGUAAUACGGAGGGUGCGAGCGUUAAUCGGAAUUAAUGGGCGUAAAGCGCUCGUAGGCGGUAUGUCAAGUCAAGGGUGAAAUCCCCGGGCUCAACGUGGGAACUGCCUUUGAAACUGGCAAACUGGAGUGUGUGAGAGGAUAGUGGAAUUCAAGGUGUAGGAGUGAAAUCCGUAGAUAUCUGGAGGAACAUCAGUGGCGAAGGCGACUAUCUGGCACAUAACUGACGCUGAGGAGCGAAAGCGUGGGUAGCAAACAGGAUUAGAUACCCUGGUAGUC
rnacentral:rRNA from 1 species